rnacentral:rRNA from 1 species
CCUACGGGGGGCAACAGUGGGGAAUAUUGGACAAUGGGCGAAAGCCUGAUCCAGCCAUGCCGCGUGUGUGAAGAAGGCCUUCGGGUUGUAAAGCACUUUCAGUGGGGAAGAAAGCCUUGGGGCUAAUACCCUCGAGGAAGGACAUCACCCACAGAAGAAGCACCGGCUAACUCCGUGCCAGCAGCCGCGGUAAUACGGAGGGUGCGAGCGUUAAUCGGAAUUACUGGGCGUAAAGCGCGCGUAGGCGGUCUGAUAAGCCGGUUGUGAAAGCCCCGGGCUCAACCUGGGAACGGCAUCCGGAACUGUCAGGCUAGAGUGCAGGAGAGGAAGGUAGAAUUCCCGGUGUAGCGGUGAAAUGCGUAGAGAUCGGGAGGAAUACCAGUGGCGAAGGCGGCCUUCUGGACUGACACUGACGCUGAGGUGCGAAAGCGUGGGUAGCAAACAGGAUUAGAUACCCCAGUAGUC